rnacentral:lncRNA from 1 species
CAGAGCUGGGUCCAGAGCCCAGCCGGGAACUCCUCCUGAUACCAGGACACUGUGCCUACUCCCAGGGAGAGCUGCACAAGAGAAACUCUCCAGUCUGUUGCCUUUUCCAGAAAUGCCCAGGACAAUUCGAUACUCACUUGGGACCAAGGUGUUUCCCCAAAGCCUCAUGUGGGCACAGGUUUGUAGCCUGGAUGGAAUAGAAAGGGAAAGGCAGGCCCACUGCUUGCUUUGUGCUGCUUCCUGCCUGCCUUACUGUACAUGGACCGUUUCUCUUCUUGGAUGCCUGCUGCCACUCCACCCUGCCUUGGUGCCUGCUGACUGUGGACUGAAACCUCUACAAACUGGAUCGAACUGAAGACCUGCUCUUGGCAGGCAGACGCGGCACCACUGAGCUCCAUCCCUGGCCCCGUGACGUCCUCCUCUGAAUCGCACUGCAUUCCCGGUGUGCUUUUGGAAUCGCUCUUGCCCGGCAGCCCUACAGCUCACCUGCUGACCCCAUGGUGCUCCCUCCACUUCACCAUGGAAACCAGGCGUCCCAGAGAGGCUGGGGACUUGCCCAGAGUCACUCGCUGACUAGUGGCCCUGGAACUCUGACCAAGAUGACCUCACUGCUUCAUUUGUGCCUUCUUGGGGCACGCAUCUCACUCCACUUUCUGCUGUAGUUAUUUUUUUGGGUUUAUUUUAUUUGUUUGUAUGCCAACUCUUAGGGAGUCUUUUCUUUUUAGCCGCUGGCACCAAGCUUCUAGUUUGGAAUUUUGGCGACAGUCUCGAUUUCAAAUAGUUUAUGCUACUAUACAGAUAAGUACUCGUGACUUAAUUUUCGUAAUGUGUGGUCAGUUGUCAUAAAUGUUCAGAACGCUUCAGGCAGUAAAUAACUAUCUGUGUAGUGAAUUGAACGAUAGGGGCAAACAAGGCUCAUUUAAGAUGUGAGUGUGUGUAUAGACAUGUGUGCAUGAGAGAGAUUGAAACCCCCAAGUAAUACAUAAUACUUUGUUAAACUAACAAACACAGAUUUCAAGUGGUGACCAAGUACUUGCGCCUGUGUAUAUUUUGGUACCGGGGAACGAACUUGGGUCCUUGCGCUUGCGCAGCAGGCGGUGAAACCACUGAGCCAAAUCCCCGGCCCCCAAGGCCUGUGUAUAUUUUGAAGGAACCAUGUGACACAGAAUAAGAAAUAACAGCUUUCGGCAUCAUUUCAUUUCCAACAUCACAACAGAGAGAGAAAUCUGACUGCGCUGUAACUUCUUCUGUGAAUGGUCUGCAACUGUUUUCUCUUGCCGUAAAACUGUCGCUCUGCCAACUUUCCUUCUGCUUCAUUCUCAUGCUGUAAUUUCAGACUUAGUGCAGCUGCUGAUUUGUGAGAAUUGCUAAUUACCAUAUUUUCUAUUAAUCUCUAGCAUGACCCUCUAGCCCAGCUUCUGUUGGGAGGUACAACUUUUCCCAGGCAUCUAGAAAUUGGAAAUUAGAGAUCUGAAGGUAUUUCUGUGGUCACUUGUAACAUCAAUUACCUUUUAGACUCUUACGUGUGUGGAAGCACUUUGAGAACUCCCCGAAAGGGUAGCACUUCCCAAAUCACCUGCCUGGAGGAGCAAGGGUUAAUUCCACAGGCGGAAGGCGAAUCCUUAAGAACUGGAGACAGAAUGAGGUGCUGCCUUCAUUAUGACCCAUCCUCAACUUUGAUUCCAUUUCAUUCUAGAGUUCAGAGCUCAGCUUUUGCCAUUAAAUCUCAACCUACGUCACCUUUAAAUGCCAGGUAAGAGCUAGCCACCUUUGGAGGAUACUGACAUUGGCCUUCGGGUCAUGUUUCUUCUUACCCUUCCAUCGUAUUCACUGUUUAAACUAAAC